UUUGACUGGGGAAUAAGUUUCCCUGGUGGUCCAGUGGUUGAACUUGGAGACCGUGCGCGGUGUGGAACGUAUCAGAGCAUUGUCGUGGAUGCUCUGAUUCAUUAGCUGAAGGUCCCCUUUCAUAACUUUGGGCUGGCCAAAGAUCUCCCUAUCCGCCACAGAGCACUCUCUCUUGGCCUGCGCUCUGGCAGCGCUGGCUCUGCAGGGGCCGAUCAGAGAGAUUAUUUUACUGGAUUUUUGGCUAAGCAAGCAAAGAUGCAUUUUGCUCCAUUCCUCAAAAAAUACAUCUUCCCCGUGUGUCCCUUAAACCACCUCAAGAAUUUCUUACCCCCUUUUGUGUUUAUUCUCUUUUGAAAGAC